CCAUUGCAAAUCAGGUUUAUUGUAAAAAAUGUCAGACUUUCAGCUGUUAACAAUGAACAAAUCAACCAAAAGCAAUUUAAAUAGCUCAGCACAACGAAUGCUUCAAGUGGUUUCCCCAAAUUCUGCAGUCUCAAAAUUAUUCAACCCCCUUGAUAGAAUCCCUCACAACAGCACAAAUAUGCAAAACAGGUGUUGUCUUAAAGGGACAGUCAACCAUAGAAUUGUUAUUGUUUUAAAAGAUAGAUAAUCCCUUUAUUACUCAUUCCCCAGUUUUGCAUAACCAACACAGUUAUAUUAAUGUACUUUUUACCUCUGUGAUUACCUUGUAUCUAGGAACCUUCUUCCAGCCCCCUGAUCACAUGACUGUGACUGUUUAUUAUCUAUUGUCUUAAAUUUAGCAUUGUAUUGUGCUAAAUCUUAAAUAACCCCCUGUGUCUAAACACAGUGUUAUCUAUAUGGCCCACGUGUACUUUCUGUCUCUUUGUGUUGAAAAGAGAUUUAAAAAGCAUGUGAUAAGAGGCAGCCCUCAAAGGCUUAGAAAUUAGCAUAUGAGCCUACCUAGGUUUAGUUUAAACUAAGAAUACCAAGAGAAAAAAGCAAAUUUGAUGAUAAAAGUAAAUUGGAAAGUCAAUUAAAAUUAAAAGUCCUAUCUGAAUAAUGAAAGUUUAAUUUAUACUUGACUGUCCCUUUAAGCACAUCUGAUACAUCUAAUCAAGGGCUUCAUUAGUUGCACCAGGUGUGCUUGAGCUAGAACACACGAAAUACCUGAACUGGCUAGGGGUUUGUUGAGUGUCACGUUCAACUGCAUUUUACAAAUACGGCUAAGUCUAAAAAAUGGUCCAAAAAGUUAAGAGAAGAGAUCAUCGCCCUUCACAAACAUUGAACAGGAUACAAAAAGAUAGCGAAGGCACUAGAUAUUCCUAGAGACACAGUUAGAAGCAUAGUUUGCAAAUUGAAAGUUAAAGGACCAGUGAUUACACUACCUGGACAGGGCAGAAAAAGUAAGCUAUCAAAGGCUGCAACCAGAUUUCUGAGAAGGCAGGUUACAAAUCCCUCAAGUGAUUGCAAAAGGCCUGCAACAAGACUUGGUAGCAACAGGCCCUGAGGUUUCAGUUUGCACAGUAAGGCGCGUACUAAAUGCAGAAGGUUUCCAUGCCAGAACUCAAAAAUUUACACCACUACUGACUCAAAAGCACAAGAAAAGUUGGCUCCAAUAUGCUCAAAAACAUAUAUAUAAGCCACAUACGUUUUGGGAUACUGUUCUGUGGAGCAAUGAAACAAAACUGGAACUUUUUCGGCCUGAUGGAUCAGCGGUAUGUCUGGAGGAAGAAGAAUGAAGCAUACGCUGAAAAGAACACUCUGCCUACAGUUAAGCAUGGUGGUGGCUCUGGGACUGCUUUGCAUCCUCUGGCACUGGAAACCUGCAGCAUGUGGAAGGCAAGAUGGAUUCAUUGAAGUAUCAUGACUCCUAGGAGAAAACGCCAUGCCAUCUGUGAGGAAGCUGAAGCUUGGGCAUCAUUGGACCUGCCAACAGGACAAUGAUCCCAAGCAUACCUCAAAUUCUACCAAGGCUUGGUUGCAGAAAAGUAAUACUAGGGAUGAGCAGCCAGAUUCAACACUCAGCCUAAGAGUGUUGAAUCUGGCUGCUCAUCCCUAGUAUUACCGAUACAGUGGCUGUGUGGGAUUCUGGUUAAUCCGCAACCACUACAAGUUUUUACAUGCUCAUACUUUUUUCUUCUAUACAUGACUGCUAGAAGAUAUUUUACAAACAUCACAUACUACCCAAGUGGAAACUUUUAUCACAGUGUGGGACUACGGUCCUUUUAAAUGAGAUGCUAUAUUGAUACCUCAUACAAACUGAGGUCUCGUUUGUGAGUAUCAUUCUCUUGCUGUAAAUAAAUUUGUGUUACUUUUAAACAGUAUUAUGCUAUGUGCCAUGUCUGUUUCCUUUAUAUAAUACGUUGGAGUUAUUAAAGAGGCAAAGAACCGUUGCAGACAUCAGCAUUGGAGAUCCCGGGGAGUGAAGAGAUUUGAAAGAGACUUCGCGCUUUGGCUCCAACUGACAAACCAAAAAUCUAUCUGAGACAACGCACAGGAUCACAAGCUUGCUACCGGAGGAUCAGCGCAGGGGCCUAGUACGUCCAAAACGCCCGUUCCUUACCUCAUACGAUUGAGGUCACCUAAUGAUAAGAUGGAACCUCUCGGUGAAGGAGGUGGCAAUAUAAUAUUGGGAGAGAAAGGCAUUUUUUGGAUUGCAGUGUGGUGUAGUGGUUACAGACGACUGCGGAGGAACUGGAUCCUGUGCUGACACUACAUGAUUGAAAGAUACAACAGAGCGGGCGGCAGCACCACCAGAGACGCUGAAGGACAUGCAGCAGCUGUGAGGGACUUCUAGCUACAGAGACAUCUGUCUAUACUAUAUAAAGAGACUGCUGAUCAAUGUGGCAUAAACAGAAGAGCAGCUAAAGACUUCCCAUGACAGUUGUAAACAGCCCUGGCUCAGACAAGCACACUCACAUAUACAGGAAAUGAGCAGUUAAUAAUUAUGUAUGUAAUUCUGCACAAUGUAGUUUUGCUUACUAUAAAGACAACUGUUGGUUUGAAGUUGUUUGCAACAAAAUAUAAACAGCCAAUGAGAAA